GUUUCAAUUCCUCAUAGGCAGGCUAUCGGCUCGUGGAUCUGCCGGAUUGUGUCAGCAUUUUCCGAGG
rnacentral:sRNA from 1 species